UGUGUGUGUGUGUGUGUCUGUGUGUGUAAAUAUAUAUAUAUAUACACACACAGACACACACACACACAUU